AUUGAACGCUGGCGGCAUGCCUUACACAUGCAAGUCGAACGGCAGCACGGACUUCGGUCUGGUGGCGAGUGGCGAACGGGUGAGUAAUAUAUCGGAACAUACCUUGUAGUGGGGGAUAACUAUCCGAAAGGAUAGCUAAUACCGCAUACGCUCUAAGGAGGAAAGUGGGGGAUCUUCGGACCUCAUGCUAUAAGAGUGGCCGAUAUCUGAUUAGCUAGUUGGUGAGGUAAAGGCUCACCAAGGCGACGAUCAGUAGUUGGUCUGAGAGGACGACCAGCCACACUGGAACUGAGACACGGUCCAGACUCCUACGGGAGGCAGCAGUGGGGAAUUGUGGACAAUGGGGGCAACCCUGAUCCAGCAAUGCCGCGUGAGUGAAGAAGGCCUUCGGGUUGUAAAGCUCUUUUGUCAGGGAAGAAACGGUUGUGGCUAAUAUCCAUGGCUAAUGACGGUACCUGAAGAAUAAGCACCGGCUAACUACGUGCCAGCCGCCGCCGUAAAAC
rnacentral:rRNA from 1 species